GACGAACGCUGGCGGCGUGCUUAACACAUGCAAGUCGAACGGUGAAGCGCCUUCCUUUUUGGUGGGUGUGGAUGAGUGGCGAACGGGUGAGUAACACGUGAGUAACCUGCCCCCUUCUUCUGGAUAACCGCAUGAAAGUGUGGCUAAUACGGGAUAUUCUGGGUCUGUCGCAUGAUGGGUCUGGGAAAGAUAUUGUUUCGGUGGGGGAUGGGCUCGCGGCCUAUCAGCUUGUUGGUGGGGUGAUGGCCUACCAAGGCGGUGACGGGUAGCCGGCCUGAGAGGGUGGACGGUCACACUGGGACUGAGACACGGCCCAGACUCCUACGGGAGGCAGCAGUGGGGAAUAUUGCACAAUGGGCGCAAGCCUGAUGCAGCGACGCUGCGUGAGGGAUGGAGGCCUUCGGGUUGUGAACCUCUUCCGCCAGUGAAGCAGGCCUGCCUCGUUUGUGGGUGGGUUGACGGUAGCUGGAUAAGAAGCGCCGGCUAACUACGUG
rnacentral:rRNA from 1 species